rnacentral:rRNA from 1 species
AGCAGCCGCGGUAAUUCCAGCUCCAAUAGCGUAUAUUAAAGUUGCUGCAGUUAAAAAGCUCGUAGUUGAAUUUCGGGACCGAUAUAUCGGUCGUGCCUCGGUACGUACUGGUAUUUUCGGUUUCUACCUUCUGACGAACCUUGAUGUCAUUAAUUUGGUGUCUUGGGGAAUCAGGACUGUUACUUUGAAAAAAUUAGAGUGUUUAAAGCAGGCUCACGCUUGAAUACAUUAGCAUGGAAUAAUGAAAUAGGGCGUUUGAUUCUAUUUUGUUGGUUUCUAGGAUCGACGUAAUGAUUAAUAGGGAUAGUUGGGGGCAUUAGUAUUCAAUUGUCAGAGGUGAAAUUCUUGGAUUUAUUGAAGACUAACUACUGCGGAAGCAUUUGCCAAGGAUGUUUUCAUUAAUCAAGAACGAAAGUUAGGGGAUCGAAGACGAUCAGAUACCGUCGUAGUCUUAACCAUAAACUAUGCCGACUAGGGAUCGGAUGAUGUUAAUUUUUAAUGACUCAUUCGGCGCCUUACG